GGACUUUCGUCGAGCAUUUGGUGUGCACACUAGGGGUCGUUCAUGGAGUCCACAGCCAAAUUUUCAGCAUUCCAAAGGGUCGUGCGACCCCUCUUGUCCCAAUGUGAGUCCGCCCUUGCUUGGACCUCUUCUUUUUUAACACCUUAUUUAUUUAUUUAUUGAGAGGAGCUACUAAACUCACACACACUACACGAAUACUAGGACUCGAACCCAAAAUCUUUUCUAG
rnacentral:lncRNA from 1 species